GACGAACGCUGGCGGCGUGCUUAACACAUGCAAGUCGAACGGAAAGGCCCUGCUUUUGUGGGGUGCUCGUGUGGCGAACGGGUGAGUAACACGUGAGUAACCUGCCCUUGACUUUGUGAUAACUUCAGGAAACUGGGGCUAAUACCGGAUAGGAGCUCCUGCUGCAUGGUGGGGGUUGGAAAGUUGCGGCGGUUGGGGAUGGACUCGCGGCUUAUCAGCUUGUUGGUGGGGUAGUUGCUUACCAGGGGUUUGACGGGUAGCCGGCCUGAGAGGGUGACCGGGCACAUUGGGCCUGAGAGAGGGAGCAGACGCCAACGGGAGGCAGCGGGGGGAAACAUUGCACAAUGGGCGGAAGCGUGAGACAGAGACGCCGCGUGCGGAAUGACGGCCUUUGGGUUGUAAACAGCUUUCGACUGUGACGAAGAGUGAGUGACGGUAAUGGGUAAAGAAGCACCGGCUAACUACGUG
rnacentral:rRNA from 1 species